rnacentral:rRNA from 1 species
UACAGAGGGGGCAAGCGUUGUUCGGAAUUACUGGGCGUAAAGGGCGCGUAGGCGGCCUGCUAAGUCGAACGUGAAAUCCCCGGGCUCAACCCGGGAACUGCGUCCGAUACUGGCAGGCUUGAAUUCGGGAGAGGGAUGCGGAAUUCCUGGUGUAGCGGUGGAAUGCGCAGAUAUCAGGAGGAACACCGGUGGCGAAGGCGGGUCUCUGGGCAGUAACUGACGCUGAGGAGCGAAAGCGUGGGGAGCGAACAGG